UCCAAGGAUCUUUCUGCAAAGCCCAUCUAUAAAUAUCUUCUGGAACCACCAUGUCCAAGAGCCUUGUCUACUUGUUUAUCACUGAAACUCCAAAACCUAGCUCAG